AGUACACGCCGCUUAAGUGUGUUUGUGUGAGUGCGUGUCUGGCUGCGUGUGCUUGUGUGCCGGAACAACAAAUGAAAAAGUUUCGGCUGCGCGUUUAAGAACUACAGUUGCGAAAUGUUGCAUGCCCCACUAAAUAAGUGCAACUCAUUGCGGGGUGGUGCUGCUGACGGUGGGGGUGGUGGUUUAAAGGCAAUCAAAACAACAACGACCAACAGGCUAGCAACAACAGUUAUUCAGCAAUCGCCCCCUCUCGCUCUCGCGCGCAGUCUCCCUCUCUCGCUCACUCUACGCCGCUCAGCUGACAGAAUGCAAUCGAGAAAAACAUCGAGUUAGAAAGAGGUUAACAAAUAAGUGGCGAUUUCACCACGCAAAACGGCACCACACACACACUCACACAAAAGUGCGUACCAGACGGCGAGAAAGAAGCAGCAGGUGUCAUAUAAUCAAAUACCAAUUGUUAUAAAUAUUUAAUGGCGCUUGAAUGCAAAUUGGCUGCAAAAGAGAAAGUUCAAGGACGCAGAAAAGCGUAAUUUAUAUUUUAAGUUGUUAAAUAAAUAAAACGCGUGUUUUCCAGCAAUUAAAAGUAAAAAUCGUAGAAA